rnacentral:rRNA from 1 species
AGAUUGAACGCUGGCGGCAUGCCUUACACAUGCAAGUCGAACGGCAGCACGGGAGCAAUCCUGGUGGCGAGUGGCGAACGGGUGAGUAAUAUAUCGGAACGUGCCCAGUCGUGGGGGAUAACGCAGCGAAAGCUGUGCUAAUACCGCAUACGAUCUCUGGAUGAAAGCGGGGGACUCGCAAGGGCCUCGCGCGAUUGGAGCGGCCGAUAUCAGAUUAGCUAGUUGGUGGGUAAAAGCUCACCAAGGCGACGAUCUGUAGCUGGUCUGAGAGGACGACCAGCCACACUGGAACUGAGACACGGUCCAGACUCCUACGGGAGCAGCAGUGGGGAAUUUGGACAAUGGGCGCAAGCCUGAUCCAGCAAUGCCGCGUGCAGGACUGAAGGCCUUCGGUGUUAAACUGUCUUUUGGAACGGUAACGUAAACGGUUACCGUUUUAAUAAAGUAGGCUAAAGUGAACGGUUACCGUAAGAAUAAGACACCGGACUAACGUACGU